GCGGAUCCCCGUGCUGCUGCGAACGCCGGUUGCCACCACCGUCACCACUGCUGCCCAGCCAGCGACGACGCCGCUCGCCGCCCAGCCUGCCACGACCCUCGCUGCCUCCUUCUCCCCCGCCGCCGCUGCGCUCCGGCCAGCAACGACUGCUGCUGCCAGCCACCGCAGCCUUCACCUCAACCCCCUCGAUCUGCACCGUUGCUGCAGCCCCCUUGCUCUGCAUC
rnacentral:lncRNA from 1 species